AGAGUUUGUAUCCUGGCGUCAGGAGUGAACGCUGGCGGCGUGCCUAACACAUGCAAGUCGAACGGGCGCGGCGGUGCGGCAGGGGCCGUCGGCCCCUCGCGGCGUCGCGCGAGUGGCGGACGGGUGAGUAACGCGUGGGCAACCUGCCCUGUACUGGGGGAGUAACACCUGGAAACAAGGUGCUAAUACCGCAUAAGCGCGCUGUGCCGCAUGGCGCGGCGCGGAAAACCCCGGUGGUACAGGAUGGGCCCGCGUCUGAUUAGCUGGUUGGCAGGGUAACGGCCUACCAAGGCGACGAUCAGUAGCCGGCCUGAGAGGGUGGACGGCCACACUGGGACUGAGACACGGCCCAGACUCCUACGGGAGGCAGCAGUGGGGGAUAUUGCACAAUGGGGGGGAACCCUGAUGCAGCGACGCCGCGCGGGUGAAGGAGCGUUUCGGCGCGUAAAGCCCUAUCGGCAGGGAAGAAGAUGACGGUACCUGACCAAGAAGCCCCGGCUAACUACGUG
rnacentral:rRNA from 1 species